ensembl:snRNA U2 U2 spliceosomal RNA
UCUGUUCUUAUCAGUUUAAUAUCUGAUACGUCCCCCAGCGGGGGACUACAUAUUAAGCGGAUUUUAGAACAGGGAUCGGCAAAGGACUUGCUCCAUCCGCUCCACGCAUCGACCCAGUAUUGCAGUGCCUCUGGGAGCGGUGCACUUUCU